UUGGCGGCAAGAUAGCCCCUUAGAGGAACCUGCCCUAUAAACGAUGAACCACGAAAAACUUUACUUUUUUUAGUGAACAGUUUGUAUAUCGCUGUUGUCAGUUAGAUUCUUGAGAAUAUUUUCAUUCAUGAUAAAUUCAUCGACUUCAAGUAAAGGUGCAGCUUAUAAAAAAGAUAGAGGUGGGUUACAUUUAUAAGAAUAAUACGGAUAAGAUUUAUGAAAUAAUCUUUGAAGGUGGAUUUAACUGUAAAACUUAAGGAAGUUUGGUGAGAGCUCUAUCUUGUGUACACA
rnacentral:rRNA from 1 species